UACGUAGGGUGCGAGCGUUAAUCGGAAUUACUGGGCGUAAAGCGUGCGCAGGCGGUUCGUUAAGUCAGAUGUGAAAGCCCCGGGCUCAACCUGGGAACUGCAUUUGAAACUGGCGGGCUUGAGUAUGGCAGAGGGGGGUGGAAUUCCGCGUGUAGCAGUGAAAUGCGUAGAGAUGCGGAGGAACACCGAUGGCGAAGGCAGCCCCCUGGGCUAAGACUGACGCUGAGGCACGAAAGCGUGGGGAGCAAACAGG
rnacentral:rRNA from 1 species